CGUUGCGCAGCAUAUCAUUUGGAGGAAAUUUCGUCAUUGGAGGGGGAGGCGAGGGCUGGAACACAGCUGGAGGCUCGCUGUGCGCAUAGCAAACGAUAAAGUUUUCCAGGGACAGAAGUUAAGCUAACUGGCCUGUCAUUUCCGGGAUCCCCUCUGGAUCCAUCAACAUCUGGGGACCAAAGGUUGAAUAACAGUGGUCUACACGGACUGGCAGUGGAUCUCCAGGGAUUCAGCACCACUGACAUAUGGCCCUCAGAAGAUUGCCUGGAACUGCCUGCAGUCCUUGGGAUGAAAAAGGUUUCCCAGCCCUGCUCUAAAAUAGCAAGUCUUCACGCUUGUCUAAAUUCACUGCUUUUACCAGGAGGCUUCACCCCUACCUGUCGACAAAGGCGUGGUGCAGUAUGAAGAUGGGAUCGUUCGCUGAUCCCUGCACCUGGGACAUCGAGCCAUUCAUGUAGAUGUGUAAUGCGUUAUGCAGACUGCUUUGGGACACAUUUGAUAUUGCGGUGCUUGGAUUUGCAAAGCCUGUUGGGAGGAGAGGAAAUGGAGAGGUAAAUGACAAUCAUGCUGCAGUGUACAUAAGAGGGCAUUGCAGUGUCUGUAAUGUACUCUUCCCAUCUCAGAUCAGUGUCAGAUUUUGCUCCAUGUAUCCUCCCCCCAUUGUCUGAAAUCUUGUUUGCUAGGAUUGAUGGGAAUUGUAGAUCAGCAACAUCUGGAGUGACAAGGUUCCCCACACUUGUACUAGAAAGCUGUUGACAUUAAAUAAAGUUGU